rnacentral:rRNA from 1 species
UACGUAGGGGGCAAGCGUUGUCCGGAUUUAUUGGGCGUAAAGAGCUCGUAGGCGGCUUGUCGCGUCGACUGUGAAAACCCGCGGCUCAACCGCGGGCCUGCAGCCGAUACGGGCAGGCUAGAGUUCGGUAGGGGAGACUGGAAUUCCUGGUGUAGCAGUGAAAUGCGUAGAUAUCGUAAGGAAGACCAGUGGCGAAGGCGGUUCUCGUGGGCAUUACCUGACGCUGAGGAGCGAAAGUGUGGGGAGCGAACAGG